ACCUAUCAGCAUUUUUGUAAGGAGGAGCAGCGCGAGUGCGGUGCGAGUCCUUCAAAUUAGAAUAGUGAUGAUGAUCUUGUCAAUGCUGAGAUUUUCAUGCAUCAACAGCCACUACAUCUGGAUCAGAUUGAACAAGAAACAGACAGCAAGGGUUGUCAGGUCAGAAACAGAAUGACACACAAACACAAGAAACUUCACAGGCAUAUCAACAUGCAAUUUGAAGACGUGUGAUAAAAUACAGAGAGGUGAAGUAGUGUGUCUUUCCAGAUCCCCAAAUCAUUCCCCCUUAAAAGGUAAUGAAUAGUGUUAUGACAAAAAAAUUAAACAUUCUUAAUUUCUUUAAAAGUUGUACUUGGGCCACAGUUUUCUGUAUUUCUAACCAAAAGAUUACAUUUAUAUUUCUAUACUAAUGAAAUAUGUUUUUCUUUUUCCAAACUUUAUCAAAUGCAAUG